rnacentral:rRNA from 1 species
UGGGGAAUCUUGCACAAUGGGGGAAACCCUGAUGCAGCGACGCCGCGUGAACGAUGAAGCCCUUCGGGGUGUAAAGUUCUUUCGACGGGGACGAUAAUGACGGUACCCGGAGAAGAAGCUGCGGCUAACUACGUGCCAGCAGCCGCGGUAAUACGUAGGCAGCAAGCGUUGUUCGGAAUUACUGGGCGUAAAGAGUGCGUAGGUGGUUGGCCAAGUUUGGUGUGAAAUCUCCUGGCUUAACUGGGAGGGUGCGCCGAAAACUGGUUGACUAGAGUGUGGGAGAGGGACGUGGAAUUCCUGGUGUAGCGGUGAAAUGCGUAGAUAUCAGGAGGAACACCUGCGGUGUAGACGGCGUCCUGGACCAUGACUGACACUGAGGCACGAAAGCGUGGGGAGCAAACA